UGGGGAAUUUUGCACAAUGGGGGAAACCCUGAUGCAGCGACGCCGCGUGAUUUAGAAGGCCUUCGGGUUGUAAAAAUCUUUUUUAUGGGAUGAAAAUGACAGUACCAUAAGAAUAAGGUCCGGCUAAAUACGUGCCAGCAGCCGCGGUAAUACGUAUGGACCGAGCGUUGUCCGGAAUCAUUGGGCGUAAAGGGUACGUAGGCGGCCCAGUAAGUUAGAAGUGAAAUAAUAUAGCUCAACUAUAUAAAGCUUUUAAAACUGCUAGGCUUGAGAGAUGGAAGGGAAAGUGGAAUUCCUAGUGUAGCGGUGAAAUGUGCAGAUAUUAGGAAGAAUACCGGUGGCGAAGGCGACUUUCUGGUCAUCAUCUGACGCUGAGGUACGAAAGCGUGGGUAGCAAACAGG
rnacentral:rRNA from 1 species